GCAACAAAAUAGCUGCAACUGGCAACAAAAUCUGAUUUCUACGCAUGUUAAACAGAAAUGUUGACACAUGUUGCCUCGUGAUUUGUAAUAUAUGUUAAACAUUUUCAAUUAACAUGCGUAGAAAUCAGAUUUUGUUGCAAGUUGCAGCAAUUUUGUUG